UGAAGGUGUUUGUAUGGGAACUGCUGAGUCAUAGCCUGAACCUCUGAUUGAGUACCUGGAGAAAAGACCCAGUCAGCCCUGGAAGCACAGGUGGAGGCAAUUCAUCUGUGUGACCAGAAGGGGUGGAGCCAGGCUCUACCCCUCUUAGACCUCAUUUAAGGGCUGGCUGCCUCUGUGGAAGUAUCUCUUGCUGGAGAUUUUUGCUUUGUGGAGUUUUUUCUCUGAACCCAGAUCCUUGGAGAUAGUUUUGUGGCCCUUCUCUGGAUGUGCUUCAGCAGGUUGUUACUUCCCCUGUACUUCGUAUCUCCACAUCUGGACACGAUACACACUGGACACACUCCAGCACUGUGGGCCAAUACUGGAACUCCUCAAAACAGGACUUCAAAAUAGGCAGGAUGUAACAAGGUCUACACUAGUUUAAUAUCUCCAUUGAUUACCUGGAGGAGAUGGAGAGCCUUCUCAUCAAGUCUGUAGAUUAUUCCAAAGUGAUUUCUAUUGUCAGUAUACUUCGAGGCAAAGCAGAAACUCAAGAGUGAGCAAGACAUGUUGAAGAAAUGUGCCAGCAAGAAGUGCAGGAAAAUUCAAAAAGGAUAAAUGACAUUUCUGGAAAUUUUGUGUGGACUGAGCCCUGCAGGAAUAAGAGGUGGAGACUAGGUUGUUCUGGAUCAUCUCUGUUGUUGAUAGGGUGAUGACCUUGCCUGUUAUCUUGUUUUGCAGAUGGUUGAGUUUGCUUGCAGGCAGGUGUUCCACUUGGGCUCUGUAUCAUGUGCUGGCCAUGCAGAUACAGUGUGCAAAUGGAAAAAAAAACCCUGCAGACCCUGGAGAGAAUAAAAGCAGGAGGGAAGCUGUAGUGGGUUUGAAAGGAAAAGUGUACUUUGAAGCAGGGGAUGCCCUGCUGACUCUACUUAUCAAAUCUACUACUUCUCCUACUUAGCAUUUUGUCCAUCUCUCAAGGAUUGGUAAGUAAUAUUGCACUUGCUUAAGGGAGCUUCUGUUUUAGAUUACUAGUGCUCAUAUUGCACUUGCUUAGUGGGUCUCUGCUUGCUGCUUACUAGGGUUAUCUAAGUGUAUGCCUGUGUGCGUGUGCUGAAUAAAACAUACAACCCCAAGUA